GGGAUGUUAGUUUACGCGGCGUGGUAAAACAACUCUUGAGUCAAGACUAUACAGAGAUAAGAGGUAGGUUCGAGGCCUACACAUCCCACCA
rnacentral:tRNA from 1 species